AUUCUACCCAUGCGGGGAAGGAUGAGAAGCUUCGACCAAGGUUCGAUUCGAGCGCAGCGAGAAAGCGUUGCCGCAGGCAACGACCCGAAGGGCGAAGCGCGCAGCGCUGAGUAAUCCUUCCCCCACCACCA
rnacentral:sRNA from 7 species